GAAUGCGCCUAAAUCACCCAGAAUGCGCCCCAUUUCGCUUGUGUCUCGGGAGCUAAGCACGGCUUGAGCCUGGUGAGCACUUGGAUGGGAGACUGCCGGGAAACAGCAGGGGUAGUCGCCUCA
rnacentral:rRNA from 1 species